GAGCGAGAAAGUGGAGCAAUCCAUGAGUAAAGCGGCGCACGGGUGAGUAACACGUGACUAACCUACCUCCGAGUGGGGAAUAACCUGGGGAAACCCGGGCUAAUACCGCAUAACACCUACGGGUCAAAGGAGCAAUUCGCUUAAGGAGGGGGUCGCGGCCGAUUAGUUAGUUGGCGGGGUAAUGGCCCACCAAGACGAUGAUCGGUAUCCGGCCUGAGAGGGCGCACGGACACACUGGAACUGAAACACGGUCCAGACUCCUACGGGAGGCAGCAGUGGGGAAUUUUGCGCAAUGGGGGAAACCCUGACGCAGCAACGCCGCGUGGAGGAUGAAGUCCCUUGGGACGUAAACUCCUUUCGAUCGGGACGAUUAUGACGGUACCGGAAGAAGAAGCCCCGGCUAACUUCGUGCCAGCAGCCGCGGUAAUACGAGGGGGGCGAGCGUUGUUCGGAAUUAUUGGGCGUAAAGGGCGCGUAGGCGGCUGGAUAAGUCUUGUGUGAAAUCUUCGGGCUCAACUCGAAGUCUGCACAGGAAACUAUCCGGCUUGAGUGUGGGAGAGGUGAGUGGAAUUCCCGGUGUAGCGGUGAAAUGCGUAGAUAUCGGGAGGAACACCUGUGGCGAAAGCGGCUCACUGGGCCACAACUGACGCUGAGGCGCGAAAGCUAGGGGAGCAAACAGGAUUAGAUACCCUGGUAGUCCUAGCCCUAAACGAUGAUCGCUUGGUGUGACGGGUACCCAUCCCGCCGUGCCGAAGCUAACGCGUUAAGCGAUCCGCCUGGGGAGUACGGUCGCAAG
rnacentral:rRNA from 1 species